CCUCUCUGCAAGUCUGCAUAAAAGCCACCGAUAGCCACCAGAAAUUCGAUCGUCGUGUGGGCUUCACCGGAGCAAGCUCGUCACCACGGGUGGUACUACGACACGCCACCACCCGGCCCUGGAAUUCUCCUAGGAAGGGCUGCAGUGCACGCCGAAGCGAACCAUGGGCUAAUAGAGCGAAGGUAGUGCUUGGAGUUCGAAGGAAAGUUCGUCAGAGUUCGCGUCUCGUGGGGAACUUCACUGUGUCGAUGGCCAGCCUCGUCGUCGAUUAAGCAUCGCGGCCAAGUCUGUUGUGACUGGGAUUCUUCAACACGUUCCACCUCGAGACCAACUCUCGCCGACGGGGGUACACCGGUAGGGCCAUCACACCAAGCGCCGGUGAUCGUCCGCCUCAGCCAGGCACUCGGGCGUCGUCCAGUUUUUAAAGAAGAACACGCGGCCAUUGGAUCCGGGUCGAUCGGUCGAGAUUAGAUUAAAGAAAACGCUUCGGUCAUUUUAAUCAAAACCGCAGAUCUAGGAUCUGAUGGCCGAGAACACGUGUUGAGUUUUGGGGUGUGGCGUUUUUGUUUAAGAGCCCCUCAGAAUGUUCUUAUUUAACCUGCCGUCUACACCAGUUCAAAUACCAGUACAAGCGAGUCCCAGAAUUUAUAGUUUGGACCGCGAAACUCUCUUAUUCUGUACCCGCAGUUCCGAAGGUUGUGAUCUGAGUCUGUAGAAAUUUUAUAAUUUUACCCCGGAACUCUCUGGUAAUUAGCGCUCA